UUACGGCCAUAUCACGUAGAAACACUAGUUCUGUAUGAUCACCGAAGUUAAGCAACGUCGAGCCUGGUCAGUACAGAGAUGGGUGACCGCUUCAGAAUACCAGGUGUU